AUUACAAUAAUACAGCAAGAUAUAAAGAAGUAAUAAGGAAGAAAACAAUGUUUUAACAUUCAUAGAAAUUUGAACUAAAUUAGGCCUGACUCUCUCUAGCAUGGAGCUAAAUGUCCCCAGCAGAGUCGCCAUCUGUCGCAUCUCGAAAAAUACGAUUCCUCGCGAUGGUCGCCGAAAUAUUUAUGUUCGAACAGAGUCG
rnacentral:lncRNA from 1 species